ensembl:lncRNA
CUACCUGAUAUUUAAUGAGGUUCUGCAUAGUCAGGCCACUCAAAUGGCUGUUGUCUUGCUCUGUGUACACCCCCUGGCCCACCAGAGCCUGCUUCACCCUGCAAAGAGCUGACCUUCUAGGAAGGUACUUGCCCCAGGUCCCAGCUGGUGAUUGUUCUCAUCAAAGGGACGGUGAGGGGCGUGCCCUCUACUGGUUUCCCUGGUAACUAGUGAGCCUGCUGCUGCUGCUAAGUCGCUUCAGUCGUGUCCGACUCUGCGACCCCAUAGACAGCAGCCCACCAGGAUCCCCUAUCCCUGGGAUUCUCCAGGCAAGAUCACUGGAGUGGGUUGCCAUUUCCUUCUCCAGUGCAUGAAAAUGAUAAGUGAAAGUGAAGUCGCUCAGUCGUGUCUGACUCUUAGCAACCCCAGGGACUGCAGCCCACCAGGCUCCUCCGUCCAUGGGAUUUUCCAGGAGCGAAGACUGCCUGCGGUCCUGUCCUGCCCGCCGUCUGCUGCAAGCUCUGGGGUGUCCUCCAGGACCUUGCUUCAGACAGGUCUGGGAGUCAGAAGUCUGAAAGCAAGACGCCAGCAAGGCCACAUGCUCACUGAAGUUUCCAUAAGAGAAGCCUUCCUGGCUUCUUCCAGCUUCUGGUGGUUCAAGGUGUUUGUUACCUGUGGUUGCAUGAAUCUUAUCGUUUGUCUUCACAUGACUUUCUCCUCUGUGUCUCUGGCUUGGCCUUCUCCUCUGUAUAUCUGUGUCUCCUCCUCUUCUGUUAUUUAUAAGGAUGUAUCAUUGGAUUUAGGGUCUCCCCAUAUUAUUCAGAAUG